AUUUUGCUUUCAGAACAGAAGGGAAGUUGAGCUUUCAACUCCAAAAACAAAGGCUUGAGAUUCCCUUACCUCAUUGUUGUCUUUGUAGAGAUUUUCUGUCCUCUUCCAAUAAUGAGUAUCAUCUUCAUAACUCAGUGUAGUGAAAUUUCACUAUCAUCUUUCGUCCUUGGUUGAGAAUAAGUCAAGAGAAGAAGAAGAAGGCUAUUUUGCUCUUCUAUGGUCUACAUUAAGCAUAUGGCCACAUAAACAAAGACUUGACCUUAAAUGGGAAAGAGGCUUUGGAUUGGAAUUCUAGCUGUUUAAGAACAAGAAAUUAAGACCAGAAGGCAGAGAUAUAUUGUAGAAGGUAGACUGGUGCUAAGAAGUAAAGUGGUUUAUACUUGUAGGGCAGCUAAUUGAAGAAGGCAGGUCUAAUUUUCAUGGAUAACAAGACCUCAUCCUCUUCACAUCCUGGCCCUCAACAAGAAGCUUCCAAUCAUGAUGAAUUUUUCAUGCAACAGAGCUUGCUUUUUUCUGAUACUAUUAAGGAUUUGAAAAUUUUAAGGGAACAGUUGUACUCAGCAGCAGAGUAUUUUGAAAAAUCUUACAGCGAAGAGGACCAGAAACAAGUAGUGGUGGAGACCCUGAAGGAUUAUGCCAUCAAAGCCUUAGUCAAUACUAUUGACCACUUGGGCUCCGUAGCAUACAAAGUUAAUAGCUAUUCCGAAGAAAAGAUCAGCCAAUUUUCAGCUCUGGAGCUUCGAUUCUCUUGCCUGGAACAGAGACUACAAACAUGCCAAGAGUAUAUCAACCAUGGGGGACUUUCUCAACAGGUUUUGAUGGUAGAAACUCCCAACUACCAAAAGCGAUACAUAUUUCCAGGCAAAUAUCAUUAUCACAUUCCAUUUUUCCUAUAUACUAUCUUCGAGACUAGCCUGCUAUUUUCGUAUUGUCUAUUUAUCUCACACAAUGUGCCACAAUAGUUGGGAUAGCAUUUUUCUAUCUUUGAAGCUCACUUUCAAUAGAAUUUAUCAACUGGGGAAAAUGUGUAAAAAUUUUCUGUGAAAACUUUUCAGUUGAGGAGUCUGCAGACACCAAAUUAAAAUUUCACAAAAGAAGCUUCAGUGCUGAUUACAGUUCGUAUCAGUUCAAAAGUGGUACUCCAUAUUUCUUUUAUCUUCAGACAAGCCUAGCAUUUUAAUAAUCUAAUCUCAUUCUUGAUUACUAGAAUAUAUACCCAAAUUACAUGAUCUAUUCAAGAUACCAUAUAGGGGUAGAAAUCAUUUAUCUGUUUGUCUUUUUUCUGGUAAGCUGUUCAAGCAACAAUAAGGGGGACCUCUCCAUCUAUUUUCAGGUAAUCUUGAUGCAAUGUCUUUCAAUGUCAUAAUGAACUUAUCAUGCCUGCUUCACCAGGAUCAAACUCUAUAUGUAUAUUUUAAUGCAGAGGAGGGCAUUCUACAUUACAGUCUCCACAGUUUUCCUCAAGACAAGGAAUUUUUACGUUUACAAAUACUUCGAUCAACAAAAAACCAGGUUUCUACAAAUGAAUUUUUCUUACAUAAAGAAAUGAUGUUAACAACAGCACAGUCAAAACAGUGAUAGAUAAUGCCUUACGCUUCUUUAUUUUCUAGGGGUAAAACUAUAACUAGUCUACUGAUUAUCUUCUCUAACAUCAGAUAAAAGAGCUGGCUCUCCACAGCGGUUUCCACUCAGGCGUCCUGGAUCCCUUCUUCCUAAGAGAGCAUUAUCUUUGAAUAAUUCUACCGUCAUCCGACAGGUAAGAACAUAAUCUGAAGAAUUGAGAAUGACUGCUGUAUCUCUUUCUUUUUCUUUUUGAUUCAUUGUGAACUACGUAGCUCUCCCCAUCUCUCUUGAUCCCAUACACCAACUUCAAUGGGAUUCAAAAUAUGGAACUUUCUACAGAAAACCCAAAUUUUAACCACCUAAGUGUUCUCUUGCCAACAGAAUAACUACUAUAAAAUUGUGGGAACUGGGAAUUAGUGGACAUCUAGGCAUCACAUAUAGGAAUCUAUCCUUGUGAACAUUGAUUCUAACCUUAUCUAAUCUUUUCAGUAUCCGCCACAGCCCUGGAGAUCAGUUUCAUUGUCUACAUAUCCUGAAAGAGACGGGGUAAACGAGAUUGAACAAUAUUCCAGCAAAAACAAACGCCUUAUUAAGGCCUUGCUUAACAUGCGCAAAUCCAGAAAGGAUCACACACUUUACAAAUAUAUGGAUGACAUUUGAAAGAAACUGGAGGCAUGGAAGGAACCAGAGAGACCUUUGUAGUUUUUGGCCCUAUUUUGUAAUCUAUUUUGUUUUAAUCUUCAAUCACCUUCUGUUGUUUUCCAGUGGAAGCAAGUAUGUUUAGCCUUCUGUCGAUGCAACUUGAUAAAUAUCUGUCCACUCCAUCCCAGAUUUUAGUUGGUCAAAUUAUUAAAAGACAAAUCCUAUUGAAUGAGCAAAACAAUACCGCAAUUGCA
rnacentral:misc_RNA from 1 species